GCCUGGCACAGGCAAAGAGAGAGAGAGAGAGAGAGAGAGAGAGAAACGUACGCGAGAGGGAGAGGAGAGGAGAUCGAGCUGCCGCUGCGCCCACCCGAUCUCGCCCGCCAUUCCCCACCCCCGAUGCGAUCUCGCCGCCAAACCCUAGCAGCAGCGACCCCCACCAGCACCCCGCCGGAGUCCCCCCAGCGCCGCCCGCCUCGGCGUUGACGCGCCCCGCGCCCCUCCGCUCCCGCGGCCAGCUCGCUCCCCACCGCUGCUGCUGCUUCAUAGCGCGGGAAGCGGGCGAUGGGGGCAGCGGACAAGUGGCUGCUGCCGCUGGUGUCCGUCUCCUUCGUCUCGCUCAUGCUCUUCCUCUCCGCGCUCUCGGGCUACUCGGCCUCCUCCGCGCUCUUCGCGCGCCUCCCGCCGCCCAGCUACGUGCGGCGCGGGGCCGCCGCGCCGCCCGCCUUCGCGUACCUGCUCUCGGGCGGCCGCGGGGACGGCCGCAGGCUCCUGCGCCUGCUCCUCGCCGUCUACCACCCCCGGAACCAGUACCUGCUCCACCUCUCCGCGGACGCGCCCGAGGCCGAGCGCCUCGAGCUCGCCGCCGCCGUCGCGCGGGCCGCGCCCGCAAUCGCCGCCUUCGGGAACGUCGACGUCGUCGGCCGCCCCGCCGCCGGCACCCCCAUGGGCUCCUCCGGCCUCGCCGCCACGCUCCGCGCCGCCGCCGCCUUGCUCCGGCUCGACGCCGAGUGGGACUGGUUCGUCACGCUCAGCGCCGCCGAUUACCCGCUCCUCACCCAGGACGACCUGAUUCAUGUCUUCUCGUCUGUGCCAAGGCACCUCAACUUCAUCGAUCACACUAGUGAUAUUGGUUGGAAAGAGUCUCAGAGAGUGCAACCAGUGAUAGUAGAUGCUGGGAUAUACCUGGCUGGCAGGAAUCAGUUCUUCCAAUCCACAGAGAAACGGGCAACUCCAGAUGGUUUCAAAUUCUUCACAGGUUCUCCUUGGGUCAUUCUAAACCGGCGGUUUAUAGAGUACUGCAUUUUCGGAUGGGAGAACCUCCCUCGAACCCUUCUCAUGUACUUCACCAACGUGAUGCUGCCUUUGGAAGGUUAUUUCCACUCGGUCGCGUGCAACUCGGACUUCCGCAACUUCACGGUGAACAACGACUUGCGGUACGUGGCCUGGGACGACCCGCCUCAGAUGGAGCCCCGGUUUCUGAACAUCACACAUUAUGAGGAGAUUGUGGAGAGCGGGGUGCCCUUUGCUAGGAAGUUCCGGGAGAAAGAGUAUCUGCUGGACAAGAUUGAUGAGAAAAUACUCCAGCGGUGGCGCCACGGACCUGUUCCUGGAGCGUGGUGCACAGGCAGAAAGAGAUGGUUCAGCGAUCCAUGCUCCCAGUGGAGCAACGUCAACAUUGUAAGACCCGGGCCCCAAGCCGAGAAGUUCCGCAGAUACAUGGACCGGAUCCUGGAAGAAUCGAAGUCGAGCAACAGCUCAUGCGCGCAAUAGCAGCACUGAACCGCGUGGCUGCGUGCACUUUCCGGCAGUCGAGCGUGUCUCAUUUUGCACAGAUCGAGUGGCUCUCCGCGUGUUCAGAACUCCGGCAUUUCCGCCUCCUGUGGGAGCAUUUUUGCUGCAGCUGGGUUGUGCGCACAGGGCCAAGGAUAGGAAGAAGAUUAUCAAAAGCUUGAAGGGGAAGAUUAUGAAGCUUGCUCUCAGUGAUUAUGUAUGCCUUGUUUUAAUUGAAGAGCUGAUAAAGCAGUUAAAGGAACUCAUAUUUGACAAGGUAAAAGGAAUUCCAAGCUUGUGAUGUGCUUACUUUUAAUUGCUAGUUAUAUUCACAUGAGACUAUUUAUGUUGGAGCUCUUUGCUGGAACAGAACGGGAGACACCCAUUGCUGCAGAUAUUUCACCCACAUGGCUCACAUUAUCUGACUGUGACUGAUUUGAUUUAUCGGAAUUACAACGUGUCUUCCCUUAUUUCAAAGGCAAAUUACCUAUUCUAUUAACUCUUAAGUACUUUGAAGAGAAACAGGCCCCCAGAAAAUUGCUUCUUUUGUUUCAGGAUGAGGCAUCAGUUAACUUGGAUAAUGUAGUUGACAAAGAACAUGAGGGUUCAUAAGACACACAGGUUGCAUCUGAUAGCAUGAAGGACCCGAUUAAAUGGCGGCAAGAACUGUUGGUGAAAAGAGAGCUUUGUGAGGUUCUCAUUGAGACUUGCAUUGAAAAUGUUGUAGAGUUAGUUCGAACAAACUUUGGUGAAGAUGUAUUAUAUGAAGUGAUCUCCUUAGUCCAUGGUCUAUGCUUCUACCUGUACUUCUAUAACCGGUAUCUCGGGAUAAUAUUCAUUCAUAUAUGACAUUUCUUCCCGAAAGGAACUACUGUGAUAAAUAUGCUUAUACUUGCUUGACCUUCUGAUAAACUGUUGGUUUAACCUCUGUUUUCCUGAUUGUUAUUCGACAAUCUGGAAAUAUUCUUAUAAGUUGAUGGAACCUUUUUCUCUGGGAUGUUCCUUAGGCCCAUGCGCAGUAUUAAUGUUAUUCACUUUUCCUUAAUGAUGAAUUAACCUCCUGUAAAAGAAAAUGACACUCCAGUCUACACACCAACGUACCUACUGUUUUCUUAGUCCGACUCUUGAUACAAAUGAGUAAUCAACUGUUAAAGGGUGCCAUGAUUGAACACAUUUUCGCUUUGUAAGAGGUAGUGCUGAUAUGCUUACU